rnacentral:rRNA from 1 species
ACUCCUACGGGAGGCAGCAGUAGGGAAUCUUCCACAAUGGACGCAAGUCUGAUGGAGCAACGCCGCGUGAGUGAAGAAGGUUUUCGGAUCGUAAAGCUCUGUUGUUGGUGAGAAGGAUAGAGGUAGUAACUGGCCUUUAUUUGACGGUAAUCAACCAGAAAGUCACGGCUAACUACGUGCCAGCAGCCGCGGUAAUAC